rnacentral:snoRNA from 1 species
GCCGACAGCGGGGGGACAAUACCCCUCGCACGGGCUCGGUCUACCCGCCUCCGUGAGGUGCUCGGGUUCGAUGAACGGAGCGUGCUCACGCCGAGCCCACAGGGCCGGGAGCAUCCACCCGUGCGAGCGGUGAGCUCGGGCCUCUGUGCCCGGCCCACACUCAGACAAUU